AUACGUAGGGUGCGAGCGUUGUCCGGAAUUACUGGGCGUAAAGAGCUCGUAGGUGGUUUGUCGCGUCGUCUGUGAAAUUCCGGGGCUUAACUCCGGGCGUGCAGGCGAUACGGGCAUAACUUGAGUACUGUAGGGGAGACUGGAAUUCCUGGUGUAGCGGUGAAAUGCGCAGAUAUCAGGAGGAACACCGGUGGCGAAGGCGGGUCUCUGGGCAGUAACUGACGCUGAGGAGCGAAAGCAUGGGUAGCGAACAGGAUUAGAUCCCCUGGUAGUCCAUGCCGUAAACGGUGGGCGCUAGGUGUAGGGGUCUUCCACGACUUCUGUGCCGUAGCCAACGCAUUAAGCGCCCCGCCUGGGGAGUACGGCCGCAAGGCUAAAACUCAAAUGAAUUGACGGGG
rnacentral:rRNA from 1 species